AGAAGAAUGUCAAGCCACUAUCUUUACAAAUGAUGAGGUUGUCGAGGAGGAAAAGAUAGAAGAAGAAGAAGAGCUAGAGAUGUAUGAAGAGGAAACAAAAACAGAAAAAGUUGUUGCUGCGGAAAAGAUAGAGGAGAUAGAAACAGAAAAGUUGAAUGAGAGUGAGAAGGAGGAUGAGAAAGGAAAAUCAGUGGUUGAAAGAAAACAAAAAAAGAAAAAAACGUGAAAAUAAAGAAAGAAAAGAAAAAGAAAAAGAGAAGGUUAAGGAAGGAGAAAAUUAAGAAAAAAAGGAAGAGAGGAAAGAAAAAAAGGUCAUGUGAAAAACCCCUUCCUC
rnacentral:lncRNA from 1 species